rnacentral:rRNA from 1 species
AACGUAGGAGACAAACGUUAUCCGGAGUUACUGGGCGUAAAGGGCGUGUAGGUGGUUGUGUAAGUCUGGCGUGAAAUUUUUCGGCUUAACCGGGAAAGGUCGUCGGAUACUGCAGAACUAGAGGACGGUAGAGGCGUGUGGAAUUCCGGGUGUAGUGGUGAAAUGCGUAGAGAUCCGGAGGAACACCAGUGGCGAAGGCGACCACGCUGGGC